GACGGAAAACUAACGAGAGAGCGCCCCGCAGCCCUCUCCUUCCACCUCUUUGCGACUUCCAGGGAAACUACAAGACUUUCCCCGAGAGGAAGGGGAUGUGGGGAGGCUCCCUUCGGAAGCAAAAGGUCCCAGCGAACAGCGAGGGCACAAAAGGGUCCCCCGCGCGGCGCUCCGCACCCCCUCUCGGUUCCCCGGGCGGUUCCCGGGGCGAGGGGUGGGGUAGAAAGUGUGAAAAGCCCCGCCGGCGCCGGAAAGCGCGUCCAGGGGCCUCUGCAAGGGCGCCCGGCCCUUCGGGACCUCCGAGCUCCGAGGGGCCCCGCGGGCCUCGCGGCGGACAGCGAAAGCGAGUCCCGAGGUCCGAGAGCGCCGCGACCCGCCCUGACACCUGGGGGGCCCCGCCGGGAGGACUCGGGCCAAACCCGGAGAAGCGGCUGACCAUCCCGCCCUGGUCGUCGUCCACGUCCGCUCGGCCCACGGGGCCCAGCGCUGGACGUGCCCGCCCCGGGCAUCCAGCCUCUUCCGUCCGCCCCCGCCCCGGGAAGUCCCCGGCCCCGAGCCCAGCCGCCGCCCGGGGAGGUGUGGGCGAGCGCGCUGGAAGGAAACCGCGGCGGCCCGGCCCCUGGACGUGUCCGGGAAGGAACGCGGACUUUCUCUCAUUCCACAAGUAUUUAUUCAGCAGCUACUACGUCCUGGUCGGCCCGGACGUCGGGCUCCGGGCUGGACGGGGACACGGGCAGCAGGCCUGGCAGGGCCCGGACCCACAGCAUUUGCGCCCCCCCCGCCCCCCAGCCCUUCCGUCUCGGAGGGAGCCUCCCAGUCCCCCAACUCUUCUCCAGCCCGGUCUGCACCACCGUCCCCACCAUUCAGAGUCUUCCGGGUUACUGAGCAGCUGCUUUUAGAGUGGGGGGACGGGGCGGGCGGGAAUCAAGGAAGAAAGACCCCGGGGAUCAGUCCUUCACCACUAGGUCUUCCUCGUGUACACCCAGGAAGCCAGGCUUCACCGAAGACAAAAGGAAGACCCCGCUUGCUCCCUCGUUCAGCCUCACUCCAUUCCUCAGGAAGUGAUCCCACAGGGCAAGCUUUGCCCUAUUCCAGGUGAGAUGGGCCAUCCUAGUGUGUAAGCUUAAGGUUAUACUUCUGAAUGCUGGGAAAAAGAUAGGACUAAAACUAAUCUCUCAUGCUACUAAGUGAAGGAGAAGCUUUGUUUUCAGAUCAGAUCAGAUCAGUCACUCAGUCGUGUCCGACUCCUUGUGACCCCAUGAAUCGCAGCACGCCAGGCCUCCCUGUCCAUCACC